GAGAGAGAGAGAGAGAGAGAAAGGGGGGGGGGAGGAAGAAAAAAGAAAGAAGAGAGAAAGAAAGAAAGCAGCAAAUAAAGAAAAGAAGAGCACAAGAUGAAGAAUUUCCAAGAUGAAGCAAAGCUCUGCUUUUAAACUAACCUGGAUAGUUCUAUGGGAGGGAACAUAAGGAAUACUUGGUGGUGCUAUAAUAGGCAUGUGAAUACAAGCAGGGAAUGGACUUCUGAGAGCCAGGAGGGGAGGUCCAGAGGAGAUUUUGUGUGUAAAAAGAAAUAAAUAAAAAUUGAUUAUAAAAAAGCUAAUUAAAUCUGCUUGUCU